rnacentral:rRNA from 1 species
GUGCCAGCAGCCGCGGUAAUACAGAGGUGCCAAGCGUUAGGCGGAAUCACUGGGCUUAAAGCGCGUGUAGGUGGAUGGGUAAGUACCUUGUGAAAUCCCACGGCUCAACCGUGGAACUGCUGGGUAUACUGCUUGUCUUGAGGCACUCAGGGGCAGCUGGAACAAAUGGUGGAGCGGUGAAAUGCGUAGAUAUCAUUUGGAACGCCAAAGGCGAAAGCAGGCUGCUGGGAGUGAUCUGACACUGAGACGCGAAAGCCAGGGGAGCAAACGGGAUUAGAAACCCCCGUAGUCC